rnacentral:rRNA from 1 species
UGGGGAAUAUUGCACAAUGGGCGAAAGCCUGAUGCAGCGACGCCGCGUGAGGGAUGACGGCCUUCGGGUUGUAAACCUCUUUCAGUAGGGACGAAGCGCAAGUGACGGUACCUGCAGAAGAAGCACCGGCUAACUACGUGCCAGCAGCCGCGGUAAUACGUAGGGUGCGAGCGUUGUCCGGAAUUACUGGGCGUAAAGAGCUCGUAGGCGGUUUGUCACGUCGUCUGUGAAAUCCUAGGGCUUAACCCUGGACGUGCAGGCGAUACGGGCUGACUUGAGUACUACAGGGGAGACUGGAAUUUCUGGUGUAGCGGUGGAAUGCACAGAUAUCAGGAAGAACACCGAUGGCGAAGGCAGGUCUCUGGGUAGUAACUGACGCUGAGGAGCGAAAGCAUGGGUAGUGAACAGG